AACGUUGAGACCCUCCCUCGUCCCCAAUUUCUGUAGCCGUCAACAGAAUUCGCGCCAUCUUAUUAAAUUCCGAAAAACCCUAAACCCAAAGUCCAAAACCCUAUCUUCUCAAUUUGAUCGAGGAAAGAUGCUAGAGGCGAAAAGUCUGAGCAAGGCAGUAGUGCCGUCCUCUCUCAUAGAGAAUCCUUCUCCUGGUAGCCUCCAGUCCACUCGCCUCGCUCUCCAUGUUGCCGAGGACUGCUCCUCGUGUUGGGUCUACAUCGCCUCCGGCUGCCAAAUUUAUAAGCUUCAGAUUUCAUUGGAAGAGUCUCUGGUCGGUGAAGGGAAAGAAGGCCUUCUGAUUCCUGUACUCAGGGAGGUUAUGGAUUCCUUUAUGGUUAACCGCUGCCCUCAUCGUUCAGAAAUUCAGAGUAUGGUACUUGCUGAAACAGAGAGCAAUGAAUAUUCAAUGUUGGGAACUGUGGAUUCUUAUGGUCACCUUAUUGUAUCAAAACUAGAUACUACUGGUGAAGAGCGGCUUACUUAUUCAGUAUUGCCUCGUGAUUGUGGCAUUCGAGAAAGUGGUUGGGCAGGGCUUUCCUUCAGUCCAGCACAGUGGUCUACGGCAGCCGUUGUGCGUAGCUUCUGCAAAACCAUUGAUGUUUAUGACCAGGAUAUUCAUGUCAGGACAUUGUGUACACUUUGGUACCCGUCAUCAUUGAACUUCAUAACAAGUUCGCAUUAUGGAAAUGAGGGUUCUAUAUUAGCAAUCACAGAAGGUUCCCAGCUGACUAUAUGGGACUUGAGAAUGAAAGAAAAUGGUGGCUGUCUACAACGAAUAUGUGGUUCCCUUGGUGAUGCCUUUUAUGCUGUGUGCUGUUCUUCAACUGGGAAUGUUGCAGUCGGCGGAGCUGAUCGUACAGUGACAAUCUACGAUCCUCGCAGAUGGUCAUCAUUAUCAAGAUGGGUGCACUGCUCCAAAUAUGAGAUAACUGGGCUUGCUUUCUCUUCAGUUGACUCCAACUACAUCUACGUACAAGGUGUUGACUAUGAGGUCUUAUGUGGACAGUGGAAAGAUAGCAGAAAGUUAUCUUCAUUUAGAGGAGACUCAAACUGGCUUGGUUUUAGCAAGUGCCAAAAUAGGGAUCUUCUAGGUGGAUGGUGUGACUCUGGUAGUAUCUUUGUAGGCCGAUGUUGUAGCUAAAGAGAACGAAACAAACUCGCCGACAUGUUCUUCCAAUGGAUCUCCUGGUGCUCGUUCAACUUGAUUCUCAUCUGCGUAAGAGGACUUUCACUUCCGUGCUGUAUCGCUCUGCAAAAGAGUCGUAGGCAGUCAUUUUGAGUAGCUACCAAUGCCGUCCCCCAGUGAAUUCUAAUGUAUUAGUUCUGCAAUUUAGAAUUGUGUACAUGAAAUGCGUCCACAUUUGUGUGAGUAACAAUCAGUUGUUGAUGGCUAUGGAUUCUGCAAUAGCAUUUAGGUUCCUGAACCCUUCUGCAAUAGAGUCCACACAUAUCUACAGUUAGUGACGGAGCCACAUAGAGACCAGUGACGGCCCAGGCCUAUUCUGAAAUUUCAACCUUUUGUACGUACUCUCUGUAAGCUUUUACAAAAAUGAGCCUGUGGCUCAUUAGCCUAUACAGCCUAGGGCAAGAUGUAAUUUUAAGUCAUGAUUUUAAAUUUUAAAGCUGCACCAUUGUUUGAUUAAAACUUUCCAUGCCAAUACAAAAACAACACCUUUAAUUUUCUUCCA